UUUUGUAAAGUGCUUUUUAAAUUUGAUGUGUUAUAUUUGCUCUUUAAAUAUCCUUUAAAUCCACAAUCAUCAGCUUUUGUCUCUACUGUUUCUUCCAGUGGGUUCCUAGCCAUGCUGGUGCUGUCUCCUUCCAGCCGCUGUGUGAUUAUCUGCGGCUGGGAUGGAGAUGUUACCAAACCCAGGCAACUAGGAAAGGCUCCCCCUGGAGGCGGAAGAGGCUCUGCAAGGUAGAAAAGCCGCACAGGAAUCACUAGUGUGAUGCCAACUGAGCCAUCCUUUGCAAGACGCCAAAUUCACAAAAGAAGACUGUAAGAAAUGCUGUGAAAGUUACAUGAAAUCAAGCAAAGGGGAAUUUGAAGAAGGGCGAUCAGAAAGAGGAAUACCUUUUAUGUGUGGGGCCACAGAGCAAAUAACUGCAGUCAUUUUUCCUGGUCCUCAAAGGCAGGAGUGGGCACUGGAGAGAAUGGAGUGGAGCAGAGAGCAGAGAGAGG
rnacentral:lncRNA from 1 species